AACGCACAUUGCGCCCCUUGGUAUUCCGAGGGGCAUGCCUGUUCGAGCGUCAUUUCAACCCCUCAAGCUCUGCUUGGUGUUGGGCCUCGCCAUCGCGGCGGGCCUUAAAAUCAGUGGCGGUGCCGUCUCGGCUCCAAGCGUAGUAGCAUCAUCUCGCUCUGGAGGCCCGGCGGUUGCUGGCCAGAUAACCCCCAAUUUUUUUCUCGUGGUUGACCUCGGAUCAGGUAGGGAUACCCGCUGAACUUAA
rnacentral:misc_RNA from 1 species